UCCGGGUUUCGCCCGGCAGUCUCCCUAGAUUAUUCAACAUAGGACAAGGGUUGCGCUCGUUGCGGGACUUAACCCAACAUCUCACGACACGAGCUGACGACAACCAUGCACCACCUGUGUACGGCCCAAAAGGACACCGUAUCUCUACGGCUUUUCCGUACAUGCCAAACCCAGGUAAGGUUCUUCGCGUUGCCUCGAAUUAAGCAACAUGCUCCGCCGCUUGUGCGGGCCCCCGUCAAUUCCUUUGAGUUUUAGCCUUGCGGCCGUACUCCCCAGGCGGGGCACUUAAUGCGUUAGCUACGGCACAGAUCCCGUUGGUUGAGACCCACACCUAGUGCCCAACGUUUACGGCGUGGACUAC
rnacentral:misc_RNA from 1 species